CUGGCUCAGGAUGAACGCUGGCGGCGUGCCUAACACAUGCAAGUCGAGCGAGGAGAUAAGAGCUUGCUCUUUGA
rnacentral:rRNA from 1 species